rnacentral:rRNA from 1 species
CAGCCGCCGCGGUAAUACAGAGGGUGCAAGCGUUAAUCGGAAUUACUGGGCGUAAAGCGCGCGUAGGUGGUUUGUUAAGUUGGAUGUGAAAGCCCCGGGCUCAACCUGGGAACUGCAUCCAAAACUGGCAAGCUAGAGUACGGUAGAGGGUGGUGGAAUUUCCUGUGUAGCGGUGAAAUGCGUAGAUAUAGGAAGGAACACCAGUGGCGAAGGCGACCACCUGGACUGAUACUGACACUGAGGUGCGAAAGCGUGGGGAGCAAACAGGAUUAGAUACCCCUGAGUCCCUGUCUCUUAUACA